AUUGAACGCUGGCGGCAGGCCUAACACAUGCAAGUCGAACGGUAACAGGAAACAGCUUGCUGUUUCGCUGACGAGUGGCGGACGGGUGAGUAAUGUCUGGGAAACUGCCUGAUGGAGGGGGAUAACUACUGGAAACGGUAGCUAAUACCGCAUAACGUCGCAAGACCAAAGAGGGGGACCUUCGGGCCUCUUGCCAUCGGAUGUGCCCAGAUGGGAUUAGCUAGUAGGUGGGGUAACGGCUCACCUAGGCGACGAUCCCUAGCUGGUCUGAGAGGAUGACCAGCCACACUGGAACUGAGACACGGUCCAGACUCCUACGGGAGGCAGCAGUGGGGAAUAUUGCACAAUGGGCGCAAGCCUGAUGCAGCCAUGCCGCGUGUAUGAAGAAGGCCUUCGGGUUGUAAAGUACUUUCAGCGGGGAGGAAGGGAGUAAAGUUAAUACCUUUGCUCAUUGACGUUACCCGCAGAAGAAGCACCGGCUAACUCCGUGCCAGCAGCCGCGGUAAUACGGAGGGUGCAAGCGUUAAUCGGAAUUACUGGGCGUAAAGCGCACGCAGGCGGUUUGUUAAGUCAGAUGUGAAAUCCCCGGGCUCAACCUGGGAACUGCAUCUGAUACUGGCAAGCUUGAGUCUCGUAGAGGGGGGUAGAAUUCCAGGUGUAGCGGUGAAAUGCGUAGAGAUCUGGAGGAAUACCGGUGGCGAAGGCGGCCCCCUGGACGAAGACUGACGCUCAGGUGCGAAAGCGUGGGGAGCAAACAGGAUUAGAUACCCUGGUAGUCCACGCCGUAAACGAUGUCGACUUGGAGGUUGUGCCCUUGAGGCGUGGCUUCCGGAGCUAACGCGUUAAGUCGACCGCCUGGGGAGUACGGCCGCAAGGUUAAAACUCAAAUGAAUUGACGGGGGCCCGCACAAGCGGUGGAGCAUGUGGUUUAAUUCGAUGCAACGCGAAGAACCUUACCUGGUCUUGACAUCCACGGAAGUUUUCAGAGAUGAGAAUGUGCCUUCGGGAACCGUGAGACAGGUGCUGCAUGGCUGUCGUCAGCUCGUGUUGUGAAAUGUUGGGUUAAGUCCCGCAACGAGCGCAACCCUUAUCCUUUGUUGCCAGCGGUCCGGCCGGGAACUCAAAGGAGACUGCCAGUGAUAAACUGGAGGAAGGUGGGGAUGACGUCAAGUCAUCAUGGCCCUUACGACCAGGGCUACACACGUGCUACAAUGGCGCAUACAAAGAGAAGCGACCUCGCGAGAGCAAGCGGACCUCAUAAAGUGCGUCGUAGUCCGGAUUGGAGUCUGCAACUCGACUCCAUGAAGUCGGAAUCGCUAGUAAUCGUGGAUCAGAAUGCCACGGUGAAUACGUUCCCGGGCCUUGUACACACCGCCCGUCACACCAUGGGAGUGGGUUGCAAAAGAAGUAGGUAGCUUAACCUUCGGGAGGGCGCUUACCACUUUGUGAUUCAUGACUGGGGUGAAGUCGUAACAAGGUAACCGUAGGGGAACCUGCGGUUGGAUCACCUCCUUACCUUAAAGAAGCGUUCUUUGCAGUGCUCACACAGAUUGUCUGAUAGAAAGUGAAAAGCAAGGCGUCUUGCGAAGCAGACUGAUACGUCCCCUUCGUCUAGAGGCCCAGGACACCGCCCUUUCACGGCGGUAACAGGGGUUCGAAUCCCCUAGGGGACGCCACUUGCUGGUUUGUGAGUGAAAGUCACCUGCCUUAAUAUCUCAAAACUCAUCUUCGGGUGAUGUUUGAGAUAUUUGCUCUUUAAAAAUCUGGAUCAAGCUGAAAAUUGAAACACUGAACAACGAAAGUUGUUCGUGAGUCUCUCAAAUUUUCGCAACACGAUGAUGAAUCGUAAGAAACAUCUUCGGGUUGUGAGGUUAAGCGACUAAGCGUACACGGUGGAUGCCCUGGCAGUCAGAGGCGAUGAAGGACGUGCUAAUCUGCGAUAAGCGUCGGUAAGGUGAUAUGAACCGUUAUAACCGGCGAUUUCCGAAUGGGGAAACCCAGUGUGUUUCGACACACUAUCAUUAACUGAAUCCAUAGGUUAAUGAGGCGAACCGGGGGAACUGAAACAUCUAAGUACCCCGAGGAAAAGAAAUCAACCGAGAUUCCCCCAGUAGCGGCGAGCGAACGGGGAGCAGCCCAGAGCCUGAAUCAGUGUGUGUGUUAGUGGAAGCGUCUGGAAAGGCGCGCGAUACAGGGUGACAGCCCCGUACACAAAAAUGCACAUGCUGUGAGCUCGAUGAGUAGGGCGGGACACGUGGUAUCCUGUCUGAAUAUGGGGGGACCAUCCUCCAAGGCUAAAUACUCCUGACUGACCGAUAGUGAACC
rnacentral:misc_RNA from 1 species